rnacentral:misc_RNA from 1 species
CGCACAUUGCGCCCGCCAGUACUCUGGCGGGCAUGCCUGUUCGAGCGUCAUUUCAACCCUCAAGCUCUGCUUGGUGUUGGGGAUCGGCGUAGCGCCCUCGGGCGUCGCCGUCCCCUAAAUCUAGUGGCGGUCCCGCUGUAGCCUCCUCUGCGUAGUAGUUUUCUCCUCGCACUGGAAUCUCGGCGGUGCCCUGCCGUAAAACCCCCAACUUACCGAAAUGUUGACCUCGAAUCAGGUAGGAAUACCCGCUGAACUUAA